rnacentral:rRNA from 1 species
AGCGCAGGUGGUUUCUUAAGUCUGAUGUGAAAGCCCACGGCUCAACCGUGGAAGGUCAUUGGAAACUGGGGAACUUGAAUGCAGAAGAGGAGAGUGGAAUUCCAUGUGUAGCGGUGAAAUGCGUAGAUAUAUGGAGGAACACCAGUGGCGAAAGCGACUCUCUGGUCUGUUAUUGACACUGAGGCUCGAAAGCGUGGGGAGCAAACA